rnacentral:rRNA from 1 species
UACGUAGGGGGCUAGCGUUGUCCGGAAUCAUUGGGCGUAAAGCGCGUGUAGGCGGUCCGGUAAGUCCGCUGUGAAAGCCAGGGGCUCAACCCCGGAACUGCCUUCAAAACUCCCAGUCUGGAGGUCGAGAGAGGUGAGUGGAAUUCCGAGUGUAGAGGUGAAAUUCGUAGAUAUUCGGAGGAACACCAGUGGCGAAGGCGGCUCACUGGCUCGAUACUGACGCUGAGGUGCGAAAGCGUGGGGAGCAAACAGG